CAUGUAUUCUACAGUCUGUGACCAACAAUGUGAGAGAGGUCACAAUUGUUUCUCUGGGACACAUUCUCCAGGAAUUCUGAAAUAGAAGAGGUUGUGAUGGGAAAGAAGGGAAGAAAAAUAAAGAAUUUCAAAAACAUGGUUCGAUCUCAACCAGCCACAGAGACCACUGAUGAAUCAGUCCCUGGAUGGUGCAGGCAACCUCAACAUUACCCACCUCCUACCCGGCUUCUAUCAGCCUUCCUGAGAGUGGUAUUAUUUAGAAAUUCUCUUUUAUGACAUGCAAUACCUCUCUUCUUCUAGGUCCUAUAUUAUAGCCUUGAAUCAAAUCAAACUGUCAAAUGAGAUGUCUAUCAACAAAAUCUGCAAGAAAUAGUCAUAGAAAAUUUACUAUUUAACUUCCUAUUAAAAAAUCAGUGGGCUCAUU
rnacentral:lncRNA from 1 species